GUGCUCACUCAACCAAGAAUAUAGAGAAAGAGCUUCUGCCCUGAGACUCAGAAAAAUAUUCUCCUCUGCUUCUGUUCAGUAUAGAUUUCUAGACCCUGAUCAUUGUUUAAGAGAUACUCAUUGGGGGUCCUACGUCUCUGCAAUUUGUGUAUGAAUAACAGAAUAAUUUCCCUCUUUUGUUUCGCCUUUCCUGUUCCUGAAUCUAAAUAAAGAUGGCUUUUUAGUAUUAAAAGUGGAAGAAAAUUACAGGUAAUUAUCUUUGACGGUAAAAACGCUGUAAUCAGCGGGCUACAUGAAAAAUUACUCUAAUUAUGGCUGCAUUUAAGAGAAUGGAAAAAAACCUUCUUGUGGAUAAAAACCUUAAAUUGUCCCCAAUGUCUGCUUCAAAUUGGAUGGCACUGCAGCUGGAGGCUUUGUUCAGAAUUGAUCCUGGGGAGCUACGAACCCAAAGUUUCACAGUAGGAAGGGGGAAAAAAGAAAAGAAAACAUUUUUCCUAAUGUAACAAUGCGAAUGCUAGAAAAUGACAAGACUGAUCGGUUUUAAACCAUUCUGAAGACUGACUGAGCGUGGAAGUUGCUCAACAAAAAAAGGAACGGGUAUAUUGUUGCUGAGACAGGAGGAAAACCAACUCCUUUGGAGGAGGAUGGCCUUUUCCUAUAUUGUUUCCCACUGCUGCUUCUGAGCUUCUUGAAUCCUGGCUGCUGGACACCAUCAUCAAGAAGACCUUAUGGAUGGGCUACCAAACCCCUGAGAGAAAAGGAACAUCAACUGCAAUUUAUAACUAUAUUGCCUUCUUCAUUUCAAGUAAUGGCUGCCAUCAGGGUCAGAUGAAAGACAGACCAGCUGGACAAGUGCUUGGAGGACUAAGCUAUGAGGGCAGUAAAAUGUCCACAGUGUGCUAACACACCCUUUGAAAUAGAGGGAGAGGAAAAUAAUACCACAAUUCUUUUAGGGAAAACUCUGUGUGGGCUGGAAGGAAUGGUUUGAUAAAUUCCUAGUGGUGGAAAGUAGGGAGUAAUCAGAAGAGAGAGGAGCUUGGGAAUGUUUUACUGCAGGGCUCCUGUUUUUCCUACUGGAAUAUAUAAAUUGAGUGCUCCAGCUGGAUUGCUACAUUGCCGUGGAAGGCAAACUGCCCUAGUGGUCCUCGUGCCUGGUCCUUCUCGACGCAGAGAUCAGCCUGUCCUCCAGUAAAGAUCCUGCAAAUAGUGGCAUGAAGGAGAUAGCAAUUCAUUGGCCUACACAUCUCUGUUCUGCACUCUAAGGCUGGAAAAUGAGGACAGUCAUUGAAUGUCUUUCUUCUAGUUCUAGAAUGUUAGCCCUUAGUAUGUCUUCAUUCACUUGGGGGUAAGGGUUGUUAACUAACAGAGCAGAUCAAGUCAAAUGGAGUUGAACUCUUUGCUUGUGCUGUGGGUGACCAGACUCUGUGUUGAGUUAAUUGGAUGGAGACUAGGUAGAGUAGAGAUUUUUGAAAAUAUUUGGCUGAAGAGUGAUACUCUCAGUUAUUUGCAGAUGAGGACAUCAAGGAAUGUUCUUAGAAUCAUGAAAUAUAGAACUUGUGGUCAUGUUCAAUAAUUUAAUGGGCAGUUCAGUACCUACUAGGCACUGUGGAGACUUAGGACCAAGAUAGACAUGGUUCCUACCCUCAUGGAACUUACAUACUAGCUUAAGUCUGAAGAGCACUGGCUCCAGCAAACAAGUGGCUACAAAGAUAUUCUCAAAUUUAGGAUUCCAAUUAAGAGAGUAAUUCCUGUUGCUUUAAUCAUGCCUAGUGACCAAGCUUUUACAAGAGUUUUAACUGUGCAUUCUAUAAAUGCUCUGUGAGCCAGUGUGGACUGCUUCCCUAGCAACCUAAAGCUCCAUGGUGCCAGGGGAAGAGGUGAGGGUUAGUGGGACUUCUGAAGAGGGAGAUAUUAAGUGACUUGGGUCAGGAAAUAUGAAAGGAUAGAACAAACUAUUGCUUCUGUUCUAUAUAGGAAAACUGCAGUGUGUGAAAUGCUGGGCUGGGGAACUUUUUGACCCAGGUUUUAGUCUUUAAUACUAACAAGCUAUGUGAUAGUAGGCAAGUCACAUCACAUUCCACUCGGAGGCAUCCUGGGUGACUCCAAGACUCCUUAUAGUUCUAAAAACGUUAAUAUUAGGCUCCAGACUAUAGGAUAACUGGCCACUUUCUAAUUCGACUGUUCCCAAGCUGUUACGUCAAGUAGAUCUGCAGUUGACAGUUAUUUUUUUGGAAGGGUGUUUAACAACCUUGUAGGAUGAAAUGAGCCUGUCUCUCCCCAUUAGAGCUGAGAAGGUUCUAGAAACAUACCCUGUAGAGCUCUUAGAAGAUUAAUUUCCCUUUUCAUCCUUUUUUUUCCUAUCCCUGCUUUUCUCCCUCUCUGCUUCAUCACACUCCUGUGGAGCAUAUACCACGUGCUAUGUACUGAAUGUGGGAUAGGUUUGGAGAUCCAGGGUAAACCUGGCAUUCCCCUACUCCAGAAUCUUUCACAGGGGAGGGGACAAAACUCUCUUUCCUUUCAUCUGCUGGCUUUCCUUUUGAUGAUGUCCCAGGGGAGUAUGCUGAUGGGUAACCAGCUAUAGGCACAUGCCUCAUUCUGCUCAAGCAAUUGUGAAGUGCCUUGAGAUACACAUCCAGGUAAUCAUUUAGGCCCAGGGUCACCAUGAAAAGAUCUAUUUCCAGAUAAAAGGAAGAGAUAACUUUUUACUUCAUGGGAUAAAUCUGAGAUAGUCCUCCACACAGUGAUGGUCACCAUCUACCCCAUCCUCUGCAAACUGUCUUUGCUCAGGUGGGGGGAAGCUAGGUGAUUGGCUCCUAAACUUAAAAUACUCUCUCAAUAAAUAGUCAUCUUUCACGUAUACUGUGUUUCAUGUAGUCACUGUGGCUGGUGGCCUCUUAAAAAAGGGAAAACACUAAUCAGACAAAAAGAUAUUGUUAUUUAUUCUUACCUCAUUAUGAAUCCUAUGUGACUUUUUUCUCAUCUUUGUUUCUUCCAUCAUCAGCAACUCUAUUGAAAGAUAUAUCUAAGUGCAGAUAAUAUUUUAUGGAAAAAAAUUAACAGAAUUUCAUAUUCAGAAUUGCUGAUAUGAACUGUUUUAUUUGAGGCCUUUAUCCUGGGAAAUAGUUUUAGGGACUUCAAUGUCUGGCUUAAAUGGUGGAGCUUACUAUUGACUCUCAAUUUUGCUUCCCAUUUGAGGUCAAGGAAUGUACUGACACUUUCACUUAAUACUUAUACCUCUCUGUGACCAAGAGUUUUAAUUUUAUCUGUUGUUUUCUUUUGUUGUAGAUGUACAGCAUUACUGAAUAGAUUGAUUAAUGCUUUA